GUAGGAAAUUGAACUAUACAUCUCAAAUUACAAACAGUACACAUAAGUUUCCCAUACGGAUCACAUGAAGAAACCUGCAUAUAAGGCGCCAAGAAAUUACUGGAACCUUCAAGGACAUGAGAUGAAUGAACCAGCCACUAUCUUUCUACAACAUAAGUUAACAAGCAGGUUAGAAAACGUUACAGCCUAUGUUGAUUUCACUGAUGAUCUGCAAAAUUUGCCUCCAAAUUUAUGAUCUUAAAUCUCAAAUAUCACAGAGUUGUAUCUCUUCAAAGUUUGCCAACUGUCUCUGAAGCUGCAAACAAAGGUUUGACACGCCAGAGAGCAACUUGUGUAUUUCGUCAUGCGAUAUUGAUGACUCUGAUGUUGCAGAUGGUCUAGGAUCCUUUAGCAAUUGUUGAAGUUGAGAAAACAGCAUGAAUGAUUGAGGAUCAUUUUGGCACGACUUACCAAUUAGCUGAAGCAAUUUACAGCUCUGGUCCAUAGGUGCUGAUACUUGAGGUGGGACGGGGGGAACUAGAAAAGGGUGUUGAAGCAAUUGAGGAAUUCUCCAUCUUUGAUUCCGGUCCCAGGCAAGGCAUUUUUUCAUAAUAUCCAAAAGCCAAGGAUUUUGAACUGGUUCAUAUGCAAUUUCAUGGUUUGGAUCUGUUAUAACUUUGAACUUUGCCCAAAAUGUUUUGUAUUCAGAAAAAGGUGUUCUUCCAUAAACCAUUUGGUAAAGGAUGCACCCAAGAGACCAGAUAUCAGAUGGGCGACCACAUUUAAUGGUGUUCCCGUUUGCAUCCGUCUCAUUGCACAUAAAGGCCUCUGGAGACAUGUAACUAAGAGUACCAACCUGCAAAAGUACAAUUACAGGGAGUAUUAGAAAGUGCUAAAUCGUUUGCUACCAAAUGCACAUGCAUGGAUCGACUCCAAAAUAAGUUCUUGCACUUUCUACUGGGGGUUAUAGAUAAUCUAUCCUUAGCAUAUUGAUGUACUGCCAAAUGUCUGUCGACAAGAGAGAGGCAUAUCCAAUUCAAAGAACAUUCAGAUUUCCACUCUGAAAAAAUUUCAGUUUGUAAAAAGAAAAGGAGAUGUAGUAAC
rnacentral:lncRNA from 1 species